GCAACUGUAGCUCAAAAAGAGCGCUGGUCUUGUAAGCCAGAGGCUAGAAGUAAUACAUCUCUGUUGUU
rnacentral:tRNA from 1 species